GGACAAGUGAGUGUCCCCGCCCCGGGGACCCCGGGUGAGGUUGCACCCYGGGGUGCCGUGGCCGGACCCCAGCACGCCGUGGGGAGCCCUCACCCGCCUCCACCCCCAGCCGCAGCGCCCAGGAGGCCCUGAACCCCGAGGACGAGGUGGACGAGUUCCUGAGCCGGGCCAUCGACGCCCGCAGCAUCGACCAGCUGCGCAAGGACCACGUCAAGAAGUUCCUGCUCACCUUCCAGACGCCCGAGCUGGAGAAGAAGUACUCCAAGAAGGUGGACGACCGCUUCGGCGGCUACGUGGCCUGCACCCUGCUCGUCUUCUGCUUCAUCUGCUGCAUCCAGCUCGUGGUGUUCCCGCGGUGAGUCCCCCGCGCCCCCCCGGCGCCCGGCCGCCCCCCCGGCGCUCACCGCCCGCCUCUCCCGCAGCUCCCCGCUGAUGCUCGGCCUCUACGUCUGCAUCUUC
ensembl:lncRNA